rnacentral:rRNA from 1 species
UUAAGCAUAUCAAUAAGCGGAGGAAAAGAAACUAACAAGGAUUCCCAUAGUAACUGCGAGUGAAGCGGGAAAAGCUCAAAUUUAAAAUCUGGUAGUCUUUGGCUGCCCGAGUUGUAAUCUGGAGAAGCGUUUUCCGCGCUGGACCGUGUACAAGUCUCUUGGAAUAGAGCGUCAUAGAGGGUGAGAAUCCCGUCUUUGACACGGACUACCAGUGCUUUGUGAUACGCUCUCAAAGAGUCGAGUUGUUUGGGAAUGCAGCUCAAAAUGGGUGGUAAAUUCCAUCUAAAGCUAAAUAUUGGCGAGAGACCGAUAGCGAACAAGUACCGUGAGGGAAAGAUGAAAAGCACUUUGGAAAGAGAGUUAAACAGUACGUGAAAUUGCUGAAAGGGAAGCGUUUGAAGUCAGUCGCGUUGUUCAGAACUCAACCUGGUUUUACUUGGUGCACUUUCUGGAUGACGGGCCAACAUCAGUUUUGACUGUCGGAUAAAGGCCUUAGGAAUGUGGCACCUCCGGGUGUGUUAUAGCCUUUGGUUGUAUACGAUGGUUGGGACUGAGGACCGCAGCACGCCUUUUGGCCGGGGUUCGCCCACGUACGUGCUUAGGAUGUUGGCGUAAUGGCUUUAAACGACCCGUCUUGAAACACGGACCAAGGAGUCUAACAUGCCUGCGAGUGUUUGGGUGGAAAACCCGAGCGCGUAAUGAAAGUGAAAGUUGGGAUCCCUGUCGUGGGGAGCACCGACGCCCAUACCAGACCUUCUGUGACGGAUAUGCGGUUGAGCAUGUAUGUUGGGACCCGAAAGAUGGUGAACUAUGCCUGAAUAGGGUGAAGCCAGAGGAAACUCUGGUGGAAGCUCGUAGCGAUUCUGACGUGCAAAUCGAUCGUCAAAUUUGGGUAUAGGGGCGAAAGACUAAU